GCCCCGGUACUCCAAUUGGCAUGAGAGGGCGGCCUCAAAAUCCGUACAGUGUGGGUUCGAAUCCCACCCGGGGCA
rnacentral:tRNA from 1 species